GGAAAAAAAAAAAGGGGAAAAAAGGCACACCCAGAAACCCUUUGUGAACUUAUACCUUACUGUUGCCUCGGCGCAGGCCGGCCUCUUCGCUGAGGCCCCCCGGAGACGGGGAGCAGCCCGCCGGCGGCCAACCAAACUCUUGUUUCUACAGUGAAUCUCUGAGUAAAAAAACAUAAAUGAAUCAAAACUUUCAACAACGGAUCUCUUGGUUCUGGCAUCGAUGAAGAACGCAGCGAAAUGCGAUAAGUAAUGUGAAUUGCAGAAUUCAGUGAAUCAUCGAAUCUUUGAACGCACAUUGCGCCCUCUGGUAUUCCGGAGGGCAUGCCUGUUCGAGCGUCAUUUCAACCCUCAAGCCUGGCUUGGUGUUGGGGCACUGCCUGUAAAAGGGCAGGCCCUGAAAUCUAGUGGCGAGCUCGCUAGGACCCCGAGCGUAGUAGUUAUAUCUCGUUCUGGAAGGCCCUGGCGGUGCCCUGCCGUUAAACCCCCAACUUCUGAAAUUUUGACCUCGGAUCAUGUAGGAAUACCCGCUGAACUUAANCAUAUCAAUAAGCGGAGGAAA
rnacentral:rRNA from 1 species